GGGGGCGUAGCUCAGCAGGCAGAGCAGCAGACUUUUAAUCUGACGGUCGCAGGUUCGAUUCCUGCCGCCCUCA
rnacentral:tRNA from 1 species